CUUCGUUGCAGAAAUUUGCCUGCAAUGGUACUGUAAUUGAACACCCCGAAUAUGGAGAAGUGAUUCAGCUGCAGGGUGACCAGCGCAAGAACAUCUGCCAGUUCCUCGUGGAGAUUGGCCUGGCUAAAGACGACCAGCUGAAAGUCCAUGGGUUUUAGGUGCCUGUGGGUCACUGAAGCUUUAUGCAAGAAGAUUUCCUUACCAUGAAAUUCCCAUCUGUCCCUUGUCAUAAGUUUAAAACCAGCCGGUUUGUGUAAUGUAAUGAUCUUGGGUCCACUGUUCGGUCUGGACUAGUGUAAUUCAGUGAUGUAAUAAACUGACAAGAGCCCAUGCUAUCUCGUCUUGCUGUCCCUCAUUUAACAGAGGUAAAUCGGGCGUUUGGCAUGGUCCAGCCUGAAGCUAAAAGUAACCAGAUGUUCCAAGUUAAGCCAAGGGACUCGGCCUGUCAGUCCAGAGACUGUCCGGAUCGCUCCUCCGUCCAGCUGCUCUUCCAUUCCCAUGGACGGUAAUUUAUCUCGCGGUGCCUCCCGCAGUCCUACACGGAGCGAGGCACCGAGCGCGAGCUGUGACAUGGCACGGGGAGAUAGCACCUUCCCUCCAGGCAGUGCUGGCUCCUGGUGGCAGAGGGAUUUGGGGAAGCUUGACUUUGAACAAGAGGAGUAACUGAAGAGUGACGUCAAGGCUGGAUGUCUGCAGUUCAGGCCGGGCAGGUGCUGGUACCCUGCAAGCCCCAAGAUACCGGGCUAGCCUACUCGAAGGAACCGUCGCCUUGGGUUAAACUUUUGACAAGGGAUCAAUUUUGGACUAAUGUCACGAGUAUCGUUGUAGAUAGAGCCGCAGAGCUUAUGUGUCGCUAGCAACUGCUGCCUAAUGCCCUGUGAAGUAACAGAUUUUUGGUUUCAUUUUUAAUGUUUUAUGUAAUGUAUUUAAAGUCUUAUUUAAAUAAAAAUGGUUUUCAAAAGCA